GGUGUUGGAAAGAUUUAUCGGUUUUGGAUGGACUCGCGGCCUAUCAGCUUGUUGGUGAGGUAAUGGCUCACCAAGGCGACGACGGGUAGCCGGCCUGAGAGGGUGACCGGCCACACUGGGACUGAGACACGGCCCAGACUCCUACGGGAGGCAGCAGUGGGGAAUAUUGCACAAUGGGCGCAAGCCUGAUGCAGCGACGCAGCGUGAGGGAUGACGGCCUUCGGGUUGUAAACCUCUUUCAGCAGGGAAGAAGCGAAAGUGACGGUACCUGCAGAAGAAGCACCGGCUAACUACGUGCCAGCAGCCGCGGUAAUACGUAGGGUGCGAGCGUUAUCCGGAAUUAUUGGGCGUAAAGAGCUCGUAGGCGGUUUGUCGCGUCUGUCGUGAAAGUCCGGGGCUUAACCCCGGAUGUGCAGUGGGUACGGGCAGACUAGAGUGCAGUAGGGGAGUCUGGAAUUCCUGGUGUAGCGGUGGAAUGCGCAGAUAUCAGGAGGAACACCGAUGGCGAAGGCAGGUCUCUGGGCUGUAACUGACGCUGAGGAGCGAAAGCAUGGGGAGCGAACAGGAUUAGAUACCCUGGUAGUCCAUGCCGUAAACGUUGGGCACUAGGUGUGGGGACCAUUCCACGGUUUCCGCGCCGCUAGCUAACGCAUUAAGUGCCCCGCCUGGGGAGUACGGCCGCAAGGCUAAAACUCAAAGGAAUUGACGGGGGCCCGCACAAGCGGCGGAGCAUGCGGAUUAAUUCGAUGCAACGCGAAGAACCUUACCAAGGCUUGACAUGUUCUCGAUCGCCGUGGAGAUACGGCUUCUUCUUUGAGGCUGGUGCACAGGUGGUGCAUGGUUGUCGUCAGCUCGUGUCGUGAGAUGUUGGGUUAAGUCCCGCAACGAGCGCAACCCUCGUUCCAUGUUGCCAGCACGUGAUGGUGGGGACUCAUGGGAGACUGCCGGGGUCAACUCGGAGGAAGGUGAGGACGACGUCAAAUCAUCAUGCCCCUUAUGUCUUGGGCUUCACGCAUGCUACAAUGGCUGGUACAAUGGGUUGCGAUACUGUGAGGUGGAGCUAAUCCCAAAAAGCCGGUCUCAGUUCGGAUUGGGGUCUGCAACUCGACUACAUGAAGUCGGAGUCGCUAGUAAUCGCAGAUCAGCAACGCUGCGGUGAAUACGUUCCCGGGCCUUGUACACACCGCCCGUCAAGUCACGAAAGU
rnacentral:rRNA from 1 species